ACAGUGGACCAGGCUUCUGAUGGAACUAUUACAAGCAUGAAGAAGAGGUGGUGAGAUGGUCCUGCUGACCCCAGGGCAGAUGGCAUUGACAAAGCUGUAUGUGGAAGGUAGGAGAGACAUGGAUACAUCUCAACAGAGCCCAUGAUGGGUACAGAACACUGAGACACUAGGGACAAGGUUUCUGAAGUACCACAUGCCUGAUGUUCCUUCUCUGCCCUGGAGGAGACCAGAAGAUGAAAAGCUUUCUGCGGACCUUCCAAUCUCCUCUUGAAUCGUGCCACAUCCUGCAGAUGUCCCUAGGCAGGACCCUUAACCUUGCUAAGCCUGUUUGUCAACUCCUAUGUAAGUCCAGUGAGACUCAUUUCUCAGGAUUAGACAAUGUCUGCCUGACAUCUAGAAGCAACUAGGUGCUUGCUACUGUGAGAGCCACAGCCUAUGGCUUAGUUCUGUUUCUUUCUUACCAUGAGACUUGGACUGGUUAUUUAACCCUAUGGAGCUUCAAUUCCCUCAUAAAUAUGAUGGGAAAACCAUAAUGUGUAAUAGGGCUCUUGAACGAAAUCUUUGGAAAGAAAAUAUAACAAGCUGGAAGCUUUACUUUUUCCCUGUUGGAGGAGACUCAAAACAUUGAGUUUUCUCUCUCUAGUGAUGUCUAUGCCAAUCAUCAGGCUCUUGCUCUGCCUCCACACUUCCUUGUUUUAGCAAAACUCAGGAGUUCCUUUAAGAAGAAGCUUCAAAGCUCCACCUCUGGCCUUUGGGAGUCUGGAGGACCUAGCUUCAGGGGCUUAAGGCAUACCUGGGAAGAAUGAUACAUGAAAAUGAAGGCAGGAGAUCAGUUGACAGGUCUAUGGACCAAAGAAUAGCAAGGAUUAUCAACAAGUUCCCAGAAGCCAGAGAGAAUCAGAGAAACAUCUGACUCUGUCCCCAGAAGCAUUCAACACCACUAAACAUGAUCUAGGACUUACUACAUCAGAAAUGAAAGACAACUUUCUGUUGUUUAAGACAUUCAACCUGUGGUCCUUGUUAUAGCCGUCACAACAAUAAAUACAAGUUAAAAUAUGCUGGGAAGAAACGUGAGAAGAAAACCUUGAAAUAAGCAAAGGUCUUCGGGAUUCCAGUGUCUACUGAAGACCAGCCGAGAUGCCCAUCUUCAUGAACUGAAAAACUACUGGAUUCCUGGACCAGUAGACAGCCAUUGUUGGGCUAGCUAGACCACAGCCUGGAAGACACUCUAAUAAAUCCCCCUUUUAUGUCUCUGAA